CCUACGGGAGGCAGCAGUAGGGAAUUUUCGUCAAUGGGCGCCAGCCUGAACGAGCGCUGCCGCGUGAGUGAAGAAGGCCUUCGGGUCGUACAGCUCUGUUGCGGGGGAAAAAAGGCAGCCUCAGGAAAUGGGUGCUGACUGCUGGUGCCCCGCCAGACAGUCACGGCUAACUACGUGCCAGCAGCCGCGGUAAUACGUAGGUGGCGAGAUUUAUCCGGACGGAUUGGGCGUAAAGGGUGCGCAGGCGGUCCUGCAAGUGUGGAGUGAAACGCAUGAUCGCAACUCAUGCAUGGCUUUGGAAACUGGGAGACUUGAGUGCAGAAGAGGAGAGUGGAACUCCAUGUGUAGCGGUGAAAUGC
rnacentral:rRNA from 1 species